rnacentral:misc_RNA from 1 species
AACGUAGGUGGCGAGCGUUAUCCGGAUUUACUGGGCGUAAAGCGUGUGCAGGCGGUUGGACAAGUGGUGUAUGAAAUCUCCAGGCUUAACCUGGAGGGGUUAUGCCAGACUGUCCGACUAGAGGGUGGAAGAGGGACGUGGAAUUCCGGGUGUAGUGGUGAAAUGCGUAGAGAUCCGGAGGAACACCAGAGGCGAAAGCGGCGUCCUGGACCACCCCUGACGCUCAGACACGAAAGCAUGGGGAGCGAACGGG